AUUCCAGCUCCAAGAGCGUAUAUUAAAGUUGUUGCAGUUAAAAAGCUCGUAGUUGGAUUUCUGGUACAAUGCGCCUGGCCCGCGGCAGCAAUGCCUGUGAGUGCCGGUGCGCGUUGGCCAUCCUUCUAGAAAACGUUUCUACCAUUAACUUGGCUGGACUCGCGAUCUAGAUCUUUUACUUUGAAAAAAUUAGAGUGUUCAAGGCAGGCUUUUGCUGUGAAUACAUUAGCAUGGAAUAAUAAUCUAGGACUUCCGGUUCUAUUUUGUUGGUUUCUAGAAUUGAAGUAAUGAUUGAUAGGGAUAGUUGGGGGUGCUAGUAUUUAAUUGUCAGAGGUGGAAUUCUCGGAUUUGUUAAAGACUAACUUAUGCGAAAGCAUUUGCCAAGGAUGUUUUCAUUA
rnacentral:rRNA from 1 species